GACGAACGCUGGCGGCGUGCUUAACACAUGCAAGUCGAACGGAAAGGCCCUGCUUUUGUGGGGUGCUCGAGUGGCGAACGGGUGAGUAACACGUGAGUAACCUGCCCUUGACUUUGGGAUAACUUCAGGAAACUGGGGCUAAUACCGGAUAGGAGCUCCUGCUGCAUGGUGGGGGUUGGAAAGUUUCGGCGGUUGGGGAGGGACUCGCGGCUUAUCAGCUUGUUGGUGGGGUAGUGGCUUACCAAGGCUUUGACGGGUAACCGGCCUGAGAGGGUGACCGGCCACAUUGGGACUGAGAUACGGCCCAGACGCCUACGGGAGGCAGCAGUGGGGAAUAUUGCACAAUGGGCGGAAGCCUGAUGCAGCAACGCCGCGUGCGGGAUGACGGCCUUCGGGUGGUAAACCGCUUUCGCCUGUGACGAAGCGUGAGUGACGGUAAUGGGUAAAGAAGCACCGGCUAACUACGU
rnacentral:rRNA from 1 species